rnacentral:rRNA from 1 species
UCUACGGGAGGCAGCAGUGGGGAAUAUUGGGCAAUGGGGGAAACCCUGACCCAGCAACGCCGCGUGAGGGAAGAAGGUUUUCGGAUCGUAAACCUCUGUCCUUGGUGAAGAGGAAGAGACGGUAGCCAAGGAGGAAGCCCCGGCUGACUACGUGCCAGCAGCCGCGGUAAUA